AUCUAAUAACAACUUUAAAAUUGUACAAAAUAAAGGAUUAAAAUGCAUAAUUGCUUUUUGCUUACCGGAAGAAUAUAUCAAGACACGUAAAUCUCAUAAGAGAAUUCCAUAUUUAUGAAACAGGUGGAUGACUUUUGGUUCAUUUUACCAAUGGCGACUGAACCAUUCGGCAGAAGAGAACGGGGAUAUGCGUAACCCUCUAAUCAAUUAUCAAUCUAAUGUUAAACAUUACGGCUCGAGCUCGACCGGCCCAAGCGGCAGUAUAGCUUGGAAGCGUUCCUUAAGUUUCAAAACCGGACGUCAAACUCGAAUAUACGUAGAAAUAAUAGAAUACAGGGGAAGCAUUAUAACGUAUAAAAAGCAAAAGGAUACAAAGUUUCCAGCUUCUAAAAACGGGAAUUUCCCAUCCUACAAAAAUCAAAAUCAAAAGAUAGAAAGAGAGAACGGGUCAUUUCUCACUGUCCUUUCCUAUUUUAUGGCACUAAUAAUCUGGUGUGUUACAAGGAACUUGUAGUCCAAAGCACAAGUGAACUUAAAUACACUGUUUUCUGAACAUUGGCUUUCAAGGUCUUGCCAUUUUCAAUACCUUGGAUGAAUUCAUGUAAAAAGUCUUCACCAUGAAGGAUAUUUCUUCUCUCAUGCCCCUUGUAAGCAUCUACACUUAUGAUGGCCUAUCUAUCUAUAACUUCUGACUCACUAUUCUCACUACAGUCUGGAAUUGCUGAAGAUGACGAUAAAACUCCCUUUCCCUUGACGUCAGCUGUUCCUGGAUCCACGGUCCUCUUGGCAUCUGAUGUUUGUAUGAGCUUCAGCUGGUGUUGCAGAAACUGUACACAAUAGAGGUACCUAUGGUGAAAUCCAAGUAAAACAAUAUAUUUGAAAAAGCAAGGGAUGUAUGCGGUGAUAUUUAUUUUUUGUUUUAUGUUUAUUUUUUCCAGGUUCAAACCGUCAUCGGUAGAUUCCAUCUCUUGCUCUCUAACAUAGGCAUCUAAUAUGCUGGUGGUAUUUCUAUAUGAAAAGGUGCUCAUUAUUAUGUUGUAUAUUUGAGAACAAGUUCUCCUUUCAUCAGUUUAGUGAAACACUUAAAAAUGUAUAUAUUCAGAUUUCCAGAAGUAUGCCCAAAAAUGAACACUUCCAUCUGAUUUUAGUUUACCGACAGAUCCUACCAAAACCAAAGGUUAUGAACACGUAGAGAAACCUGUGCGAGAACAGUGAAGACCAGCAAUAGUUGUUGAGGCUUCCACACAUAC
rnacentral:lncRNA from 1 species